AUAGUAGAGGCAGCGGCUUCCGCGGCACGCACGCUGGCACCGGUGCGGUCGGGGAGACGCCUCGGAGGUGGAGGGUGUUUUUUUAACCUACAAAUCAACUCUCCCGUUGGGGCAUUGGGAAAGUCUUUAGCCUUCCUAAUCUGCACCUUAGGAUUCCUCUUCUUCCUCGGAACCGGCGGAGGCAGCGCCGAAUCUUGCCUAAUUAGGUAAUUCACGCUUUUCUCCUUUGCCUUCGCCUUCGCAUUCUCCUUACCAGCACCCUUUCCCUUCUCAUUCCCCUUCUCCUUCACCAUUAUCUACAAAAAACAGCACAUAAUAUCUGCACAGUACAUUAAUCAAGCGCAAAAAAUUCAUCUUCUUCUUUUUGUAGCAUAGAAAAUCAUCUAGUACUAGUGCAAAUAAACAUAAUUAUCUCCUGACCAUUAUCUAUAAAAAACAGCACAUAAUCCCCCUCUCAUUCCCCUUCUCCUUCACCAUUAUCUCCUGACCAAAUCAUCUACUACUAGUGCAAAUAAACAUAAUUUAUCUCCUGCCAUUAUCUACAAAAAAACAGCACAAAAUCCCCCUCUCAUUCCCCUUCUCCUUCACCAUUAUCUCCUGACCAAAUCAUCUACUACUAGUGCAAAUAAACACAACUAUCUCCUGACCAUUAUGUACAAAUAAAACAACACAUAAUCCCCCUUCUCCUUCACCAUUAUCUCCUCACCAAAUCAAAGACUUGCCAGCAAGAUUGUUCAGCUCACUAAACUACAACAUCUACUCUGUGACGUAGAUUAGAGGAAGAUACCAAUCGGGAUUGGGGCUUGGGAGUAUGAAAAACUUAAGAACGGAGAUCUCAGGAGGCUACCUUUUCCUCUUCGUGGC
rnacentral:lncRNA from 1 species